rnacentral:rRNA from 1 species
UACGGGGGGGGCAAGCGUUGUUCGGAAUUACUGGGCGUAAAGGGUUUGUAGGUGGCUUGUUAAGUCAGACGUGAAAUCCCUCAGCUUAACUGGGGAACUGCGCGUGAUACUGGAUGGCUUGGAUUUGGGAGAGGGAUGCGGAAUUCCAGGUGUAGCGGUGAAAUGCGUAGAUAUCUGGAGGAACACCGGUGGCGAAGGCGGCAUCCUGGACCAAUAUUGACGCUGAGGAGCGAAAGCUAGGGGAGCAAACGGG